AAAAGAAAUCAAACGAGAUUCCCUGAGUAGUGACGAGCGAAACGGGAACAGCCCAAACCAUAAAGUAUGUAUAGGUAGCUUUUGUACUUAUGGGGUAUGGAGUAACAGUAGGGAGGCUAAUAGACCUGAUAGAGGUUACGAUUAUUAAGAAAACAAUUUGGGAAAGUUGGCCAAAGAGGGUUAAAGCCCCGUAUCGUAAAAUAAUUGUAAACUGUAUUUGUUACAUCCUGAGUAGGUUCGGACACGAGAAAUCCGGAUUGAAUAAGGGGGGACCACCCUCCAAGGCUAAAUAGCAUUCGAGAUCGAUAGUGAACUAGUACCAUGAGGGAAAGGUGAAAAGAACCCCGGGAGGGGAGUGAAAUAGAACCUGAAAUUUUAUG
rfam:Pseudoalteromonas citrea strain KMM216 contig0211, whole genome shotgun sequence.